AGAGUUUGAUCCUGGCUCAGGAUGAACGCUGGCGGCGUGCCUAACACAUGCAAGUCGAACGGGGCGUAUGCAGCGGAAGCUUUCGGGCGGAAGCAGCAUACAGCCUAGUGGCGGACGGGUGAGUAACGCGUGGGUAACCUGCCCUGUACAGGGGGACAACAGCUGGAAACGGCUGCUAAUACCGCAUAAGCCCGCGGUGCCGCAUGGCGCUGCGGGGAAAACUCCGGUGGUACAGGAUGGGCCCGCGUCUGAUUAGCUAGUUGGCGGGGUAACGGCCUACCAAGGCAGCGAUCAGUAGCCGGCUUGAGAGAGUGGACGGCCACAUUGGGACUGAGACACGGCCCAGACUCCUACGGGAGGCAGCAGUGGGGAAUAUUGCACAAUGGGGGGAACCCUGAUGCAGCAACGCCGCGUGGGUGAAGAAGUAUUUCGGUAUGUAAAGCCCUAUCAGCAGGGAAGAAAGUGACGGUACCCGACUAAGAAGCUCCGGCUAAAUACGUG
rnacentral:rRNA from 1 species